CUACGGGGGGCAGCAGUGAGGAAUAUUGCACAAUGGGGGAAACCCUGAUGCAGCAACGCCGCGUGGAGGAUGACGCAUUUCGGUGUGUAAACUCCUUUUAUGAGUCAAGAAAAUGACGGUAGCUCAUGAAUAAGCACCGGCUAACUCCGUGCCAGCAGCCGCGGUAAUACGGAGGGUGCAAGCGUUACUCGGAAUCACUGGGCGUAAAGGACGCGUAGGCGGGAUGUCAAGUCAGGUGUGAAAUCCUAUGGCUCAACCAGAGAACUGCACUUGAAACUGGCAAACUAGAGUAUGGGAGGGGGGGAUGGAAUUAGUGGUGUAGGGGUAAAAUCCGUAGAUAUCACUAGGAAUACCGAAAGCGAAGGCGAUCUCCUGGAACAUUACUGACGCUAAGGCGUGAAAGCGUGGGGAGCAAACAGGAUUAGAUACCCCGGUAGUC
rnacentral:rRNA from 1 species